GACGAACGCUGGCGGCGUGCUUAACACAUGCAAGUCGAACGGAAAGGCCCUGCUUUUGUGGGGUGCUCGAGUGGCGAACGGGUGAGUAACACGUGAGUAACCUGCCCUUGACUUUGGGAUAACUUCAGGAAACUGGGGCUAAUACCGGAUAGGAGCUCCUGCUGCAUGGUGGGGGUUGGAAAGUUUCGGCGGUUGGGGAUGGACUCGCGGCUUAUCAGCUUGUUGGUGGGGUAGUGGCUUACCAAGGCUUUGACGGGUAGCCGGCCUGAGAGGGUGACCGGCCACAUUGGGACUGAGGUGCGGCCCAGAGUCCUACGGGAGGCAGCAGUGGGGAAUAUUGCACGAUGGGCGGAAGCCGGAUGCAGCAACGCCGCGUGCGGGAUGACGGCCUUCGGGUUGUAAACCGCUUUCGCCUGUGACGAAGCGUGAGUGACGGUAAUGGGUAAAGAAGCACCGGCUAACUACGUG
rnacentral:rRNA from 1 species